rnacentral:lncRNA from 1 species
CCUGGAGGGAACUCAUGGAGGAGAUGUGACAUGUUGUCCUUUGGCUUGCGGAUUACUUGGUCACCACAGAAUGAGGGAAAUUGUUGAACCAUCAUGGUGUUGAAGAUGCAGCUUUGUAUGAGGCCUAAUAUCGACUAUACUGACUGGAGCAAGCCCAAGCUGGAGGGGUUUGUAUGGGAUUUUUCAACCUGCAGUCUAACAUAA